UACAGAGGUCUCAAGCGUUGUUCGGAUUCAUUGGGCGUAAAGGGUGCGUAGGCGGCGCGGUAAGUCGGAUGUGAAAUCUCGGAGCUUAACUCCGAAACUGCAUUCGAUACUGCCGUGCUUGAGGACUGGAGAGGAGACUGGAAUUUACGGUGUAGCGGUGAAAUGCGUAGAUAUCGUAAGGAAGACCAGUGGCGAAGGCGGGUCUCUGGACAGUUCCUGACGCUGAGGCACGAAGGCCCAGGGGGAGCAAAACGGGG
rnacentral:rRNA from 1 species